rnacentral:sRNA from 1 species
AUUCUUCGUCCUGUAGUUUCUGAGUUCAAGUCUAUUUUCAAUGCUGGUAAUGCCUCAAGAGGCGCCAAUCAAAAAUCAUAGGAGACAAUUAUGUCUGAUACAGUAAAAGGAACCGUUAAGUGGUUCAACGAAGCAAAAGGUUUUGGCUUUAUCGAGCAGGAAUCUGGUCCUGAUGUGUUUGCACACUUUAGUGCAAUCUCAGGUGAUGGAUUCAAGACGCUUGCAGAAGGCCAGCAGGUUGAGUUCACCGUAUCUCAAGGCGAAAAGGGGCCUCAGGCUUCCAACAUCGUCGCGGUUUAAGCCUUAAAGCGUUCGAAAAAGAACAGGCCCAUUUGGGCCUGUU